rfam:Oryza brachyantha chromosome 6, whole genome shotgun sequence.
AAGGUGCCUGGGAUGGCAUUAAAUAUACUUUGAGCUUUUCAGCUAUGAAAAACAUUUUAAUCCGAGGCAAUCA